rnacentral:lncRNA from 1 species
AAGACUAACUCGGAUGAAAGGCUUCUUGGUUAAGGACUGGGCACAGGUGACUCAUUAAGCUUGUUUGUGGCAUUGGACCUGACCAGCAUUGAGGCAAGCAGAGAUUCCUAGGCUGAGAGAGAAGAUACAAAUUAUGUUGGGAAAAAUGAAGGAUAUCUAUCCACGAUGUAUUUGUCAGCUUUUGCUGAAAUACUACACCAGAAUGAACAACCAAAAUCUUGAUGACUUCAAACAAUCACUACUUAUGUUGUUAUGGACGUGGCAGCUGGACAUUCUUCGUCAUUCUUUCAGGUUGGAAGGAAUACAGAGGGGGAAUACACAUGGCCUCCAAAGGUCUGCUAUCUACCUGACAUGUUUUCAGUUCUCUUGUAUGCCAAUGGUAAGAGAGCCCAGGAGGAAAGCCCAGAGGAAAGAUGCUUCCUGA